rnacentral:rRNA from 1 species
AUCGAACGCUGGCGGCAGGCCUAACACAUGCAAGUCGAACGAGUGGCGGACGGGUGAGUAAUGUCUGGGCACCUGCCUGAUGGAGGGGGAUAACUACUGGAAACGGUAGAUACUACCGCAUACCACCAGUUCUGCUCAGGUGGGUGUAGCUUGGUGGUGGGGUAACGGCUCAUCAAGGCGACGAUCCCUAGCUGGUCUGAGAGGAUGACCGGCCACACUGGAACUGAGAAACGGCCCAGACUCCUACGGGAGGCAGCAGUAGGGAAUAUUGCACAAUUGGCGAAAGCCUGAUCGAGCCAUGCCGCGUGAAUGAAGAAGGCCUUCGGGUUGUAAAGUUCUUUUAGCAGGGAAGCGUUACCCACAGAGGAAGCACCGGCUAACUCCGUGCCAGCAGCCGCGGUAAUUC